AUGGCCAUUCUGAACACGCUUGAAUGGAACCUGUCAGUUCCUACACAUUACGUGUUCCUCUCGCGCUUUGCCAGGGCCGCCGCGUCCUCCUCACAGCUGAAGAACAACGAGGAGAUGGAGAAUAUGGUGUUCUUUUUUGCUGAACUGGCGCUGCUGCAAUACGCGCUGGUGCCGUCCAAGCCCUCCAUGGUUGCUGCUGCUGCUGUCUAUGCAGCCAGGCUCACACUCAAGAAGACGCCUCUAUGGACUGAGACUCUCAAGCACCAUACUGGCUUUACCGAGUCACAGCUAAUUGAUAGUGUAAUGAUCCUGGUGAGCGCACACUCGGCUGCUCCCCAGAGCAAGUUGAAGGUGGUGUACGAGAAGUAUUCCAGCGAAAAGUUGGGAGGAGUGGCCCUGCGCCCACCUGCAAUCGACUUCUACAAAUAA
rnacentral:rRNA from 1 species